AAUUAACCACUCGGCCAUGGGACUGGCCCCAAAAGAACUCUUUUUUUAAAGGUGACUGUUGUCUCCAGUCAAAGAACCACGAGGACAGAAAUGAAUCGCCUUAGCAGAAAGCUAAUGAAGACACUCCAAGUGACAGAUCAAGAAGAGCACAGACUUAAAGUCAGAAGAAAAUUUCCUCUCGUUGCCCUGUUUCUCCCUUAAUGCCUCACAAAUACAGCCUCCUACUUCUAGAGCAAUGUCUUAAGCUUUUUUCCCCCCAAGUUGUAACAUCCUUUAUUGUGGGGUCUUGUCCUAAAGUCUUAUGCUUUGGUACGAGAUGAAGAAAGAUGAAGAAAUAAUGAAGGAAACAAAUUCAAUGUGUUUGCCAAGAACACAUUUCUUUUAAACAACUCCUAAAGGGAUAAUCUAAAACAAUGUAAUAGAUUGUCUUAAUCUAUUCCGCAUAGCUAGUGGGAGUAUAGAAGUGUAUUGCUAACAUUUCAACAUCCAGCAGUAGAGGGCAGGACUGCCCUUCUUUUGCAAAAUGUUUGCGCUCUCAUGAGAAGGAAAAUAAAAGCAAAGCUCUUGA